rnacentral:rRNA from 1 species
AUGGCUGUUAAAUGUAUACUUCUGUUUGGUGUCGUACUAGUGUCUUUCCUGCUUCUCUGCCAGGAUGGGGUAGAUGCUAGAGAGCUCACCGAAGCUAAACCUAAAGAAUUCGAGGAGAAGAAUAUGAAACCUGGGUAUGGAAACAAUGGGGGAGGAUACGGAAACAACGGAGGAUACGGAAACAAUGGCGGAGGAUAUGGAAACAACGGUGGUGGGUACCAGCAUGGUGGAGGAUACGGAAACAACGGUGGUGGGUACCAGCAUGGUGGAGGAUACAGAAACAAUGGUGGUGGGUAUGGUGGAGGAUCUGGAAACAAUGGUGGGUAUGGUGGAGGGUCUGGAAAUCCUGGAUAUGGCGGUGGCUAUGGCAAUCCUGGCUAUGGUGGCGGCAACAACGGUGGAUAUGGUAAUGGUGGUAGUGACCCAGGAAGUGGUGGCGGGUACGGCAAUCCUGGCUACGGUGGUGGCAACAAUGGUGGGUAUGGCAGUGGCUCUGGUGGAGGGUAUGGCUCUGGUGGCGGGUCUGGCGGGGGUGGAGGUUACGGUGGAGGAUCCGGUGGUGGUGGUGGCUAUCCUUGA